UACGGAGGGUGCGAGCGUUGUCCGGAAUCAUUGGGCGUAAAGGGCGCGUAGGUGGCCCGGUCAGUUCGUGGUGAAAGCGCGGGGCUCAACCCUGCGUCGGCCAUGAAUACUGCCGCGGCUGGAGCACUGUAGAGGCAGGCGGAAUUCCGGGUGUAGCGGUGGAAUGCGCAGAUAUCAGGAAGAACACCGGUGGCGAAGGCGGCUCUCUGGGCCUUACCUGACGCUGAGGAGCGAAAGCGUGGGUAGCGAACAGG
rnacentral:rRNA from 1 species